rnacentral:piRNA from 1 species
UGGUUUAUGGUCCCUGCCUGGGCC